UACGAAGGGGGCUAGCGUUGCUCGGAAUCACUGGGCGUAAAGCGCACGUAGGCGGGUCCUUAAGUCAGGGGUGAAAUCCCGGAGCUCAACUCCGGAACUGCCUUUGAUACUGGGUGUCUUGAGUAUGGAAGAGGUGAGUGGAAUUCCGAGUGUAGAGGUGAAAUUCGUAGAUAUUCGGAGGAACACCAGUGGCGAAGGCGGCUCACUGGUCCAUUACUGACGCUGAGGUGCGAAAGCGUGGGGAGCAAACAGG
rnacentral:rRNA from 1 species